rnacentral:rRNA from 1 species
GACGAAGGUGGCGAGCGUUGUUCGGAAUUACUGGGCGUAAAGGGCUCGUAGGUGGCCAACUAAGUCAGACGUGAAAUCCCUCAGCUUAACUGGGGAACUGCGUCUGAUACUGGAUGGCUUGAGUUUGGGAGAGGGAUGCGGAAUUCCAGGUGUAGCGGUGAAAUGCGUAGAUAUCUGGAGGAACACCGGUGGCGAAGGCGGGUCUCUGGGCCGAUACUGACGCUGAGGAGCGAAAGCGUGGGGAGCGAACAGG